AUAAAGUCCAGCUACUAAGAGCUCCAUGAAGCAAUAAAACAGUCUGGCCUAAGUUACUGAGCUUCUUUGAAGUCCCAGAGAGGCCCAUAAAUAAGGUAGGUACUUUGGAAGGGGGGGGCACUCAUUUUGAGGGGUCCCUACGCAACUCUUUCAGAGCCACAUUGAUUUGUAGCUGCCUCUAAGUCAAUUUCCUGGGGCUCAUAAAUCUUGAUUCGAGCAAAACUAAAAUGCCAUCAAUAUUUAUUUGAUGCAUUUAUUGUCACUCCACAGAAAAAAAAAUAAAAAGUCAGCAUUCUCAUCCGCCACCCCGGAGAAGGUAUGGAACAUAGCCAUCCCUGGCUCCUCACAGACCAUUUCGUUGUGAACCAUAAACCCCACCCAGGUAACAAAUGUACCAUUUCAUGGUCAGCAAGAGCGGUAACUGUCACUGGAGAAAUAAAACUGAGUUAUUGUUUCCAGUUUCCAAAGAACAGCAACAAGUAUAAAAAAAAAAACCUGUAUGUGAUCCCUGUCCUCUUCCCCUCAAGACACCUGCAGCCGUCUAAUGUUUCACUGAAUCCUGCCACAUAAAUGCAUAGCUUCACUCACUAAUCCAUAUGGCUCCAGAGACCACUGUUACAUGAGAACUUAAACUGAUGGGGCCAGGCAGCCCAGGGCAGCUUAAUCUUUUUUAAUUCAAAUCGACUGAGUCCCAUGUGGCCCGGAGAUGAUACCCUAUAUGCUGCAAUCAGACUGACCUAGACUUCUUGUGCUCUAAAUGAUUAAUGAAACUGCCUCGAGUUUGUUUCUAUGGUGACUGGAAACCCGACCCGGACAGAGGAAUCUGCCAUUCACGGUGAAUGGAACGGAAAGAGGGGAACAGGGGGACCCUGGCUGCUGGUGCUGGUCUUGAAGAGAAGAUGCCCAAAUGCCUCAACUCCUCCCCCAGGCCGCUGCUGUGGGUUCAGAAAUUGCAGUGAGGGGAGAGGAAGAAAAUGGCCCUCCUAGGGAAGUUUUAACUCAACAAAACUGCAGAAUUAUUUUAUUCUCCCAAAGUAUUCCUAAAGCAAAUGACCAAAGAAGAAUUGAGGGAAGUUAGUAUUUAAUUCACAUUUGGUUUCCUAAAAUAAAUACAUGAGUAACUUAAAGAAAACAAAACCAUAAAAUCUUUGAUUCCUUCUUUAGAAUGAAUGGUUUUUGUCUACUAUGAACAUGACAAGAGCUGCUGAGUAUUUCGCAUGACCUGUGCACUCUCUGGUUCUAUGUAGUUUUAUUUGUUUCCCCUCCUUAUUUAACAUAGGCUGAAUUUGGGCUUCAUGCAGCAAAACUUUGCUGUCAGAACUGUCAGAGGCCAGCUGAGCAGAACUUGGGGGGAAUUACAUGCAGCUGGUGGAGAAGCAAUGGAUGUGAAGAGUUUGUGCCAAGGGUUACCUGCUGCCAUCCACCUGGCACGACAGUUGGGUCCUGCUUCAGGAUGGAGUUGAUCCUAGCUUUCUCAGCAGAGCCUCCAAACCCUGCCAGGUGCCCAAGUGCCACAAAAUACGGAACCUUUAGAGAGGUCUCAUACAGGGACCACCAAAGGACAAAUGUGAACAUCUGAAAUCUGAUGCCUCGUCCAAUUGCUAUUGACCGAGGGAUGAUUGCAUUUUAUUCUGAAGGGCUCCAAAAAGCCCCUAUCCUCCAUCCAGAAGGCUCUUUCAGGGACCCGAAGAGUGCUCUGCCCAGGCCUGGCGUGGCGAGUGGACUGGUGGGUGACCUCAGACAACGUGGGGACUGAGUCAGCCGCUGCAGGGAGGAAAGUGAGACUUGCAGGAGACACUGAGAGGGAAGUGAAGCCAUGAAUAUUUAGACAGAGGGAGAGUGGAAUUCAACCUGACACUGAUACACAGGAGGAUUGGAUUGAUAGCAAUAGCCUAAAAUUAGAAGCGGUCUACGGGGGAGUUCGGAGUUCAGGCUCUGGAGACAGACUGGGUGAAAAACUCUGAAUUGGCCACUUACUAGCCCAGUAACCUUGGGCAAACUGAUCAACCUGUCUGUGCCUCAGCUCCCUCAUAUGUAAAGUAAUCUCUACUUUACCUUAAUAGACUUCCUCUACGGGAUCGUUGUGAGGAUUAAGUGACUUCUUGCAACAGUGCUUGGCACAUGGUAAGCACAUACUUGUUGCAUUAUAACAGAAUAAAGAUCCUGUCUUAGGUCUGUUGGGAUCUUUCUUUCAUCUAGAGUGCCUUUUGCUGCUUUCCAAAUCCCCCUUCCACCCUUUUAUUUGUUUUGGAGGAAAGAAGUGUGCCAUGGGCUGUGGACUGAAAGUUCGUGUCCCCCACAAAAUUCAUACAUUGAAAUCCUAACCCCCAAAGUGACAGUAUUAGGAGGUGGAGCAUUUGGGAGGUGAUUUGGUCAUGAGGGUGGAGCCUUCAUGCACGGGAUUAGUGCCCUUAUCAAAGGGACCCCAGAGAGCUCUCUAGUUCUCCCUCUGCCAUGUGAGGACACAGAGAAGUUAGCAGUCUGCAACCUGGAAGAAGGCCCUCGCCAAAACCCGGCCAUGCUGGCGUCCUGAUCUUGAAAGUCCAGUCUCCAGAACUGUGAGAAAUAAGUAUUUGUCUUUUAAGCCACCCAGCCCAUGGUAAUUUGUUACAGCAGCCCAAGAGGACUGAGAUAGAUGGUCUAGAUCAGCACUGUCCAAUAGAAAUACGCAAAACACAUAUGAAAUUAAAAAUUCCUAGAAGCCACAUUAAAAAAUAAAGAGAAACAGGUAACAUUAAUUUCAAUUACAUAUUCCACUUAAUUCAAUAUUUCUAAAACAUUAUCCUUUCAAUAUGUAAUCAAUACAAAGAUUUGUCAAAGAGCUACUUUGCUUUUUUUUGUUUACUAAUCUUUGAAAUCCUGUCUAUAUUUUACUUAUAGCACAUUUCAAUUCAGGCACUAGAUCAUCAUCUGAAAUACUUGAUUAUAUUUAGAUUUCAUCAAAUUGACAAUUGAACAAGUAGAUCCACAUACCCAAGUUGUUCCAUACAACUUCCCAGUAACUGAAACCAGUAUCAGUUUUUAAAGUAAAAUUAGUUAAAAUGAAAUGAAAUUCUAGUUCUUCAGGUGCACCAGCCACAUUUCAAGUGCUCAGGGGCUACAUGUGGCUACUGUAUUGAACAGUGCAGGUCUAGAGGUUGCUAUGGGGAGGACUUAGCAUGGAGAAUGGUGUCUGGCUGUAGGAAUCUCAGGCACAAGGAACUUACAAGAACAGAGACUCUGGCAACAUCCUCAGCUUGUUUCUAUUAUGGUGGGAGGCAGGUAGGGUGGUGUGGGGACAGGGGUGUAAAGAGAAUUGCUUGUUCCUUCAAGAACAAAUGCAUACCACUACUCACUGUCUACCAGCUGCUGCCCUGGGUGCCAGGGAUGCGGUGUGAGUUAGCAGGGAGAGAAGGGACCAGACAAAUCCAAGUAUUUACUGGAGAUAUUGAUGGAAAGACAAUAAUACCAGCCGUUGGCAUUUGUCUGUUAUGAGAAGCCUUCCUGGCCACCAUCUCUUUUGGAUCUUCACAGCAGCUGAGACUCAGGGAGGGCUCAGGACGUUAAGUGACUUGCCCAUAGCAUGUGUGGGGAGGAACAAAGGGCAAAGUGCAGGGCUUCUGAACCCAGGUGCAGGCUCUGUGACUUGCUGUCUUCACUCUGGACAAAGGGCUGAAAGGCCGUCAUGUGUGGGGCCUCCUGUUGCAUGAUUUGUAACCAUGGUGGUGGGAGGGGUCUCUGGGGAGGCAAACAACUUCAGCUGGGCAGUGGAGGCCUCCCAUCCAUGAUGUCCCCUUCAUCUAGGGCCUUUUGCGGUACACAAGGUCUGGUUCCUGCCUCAAUUUGUUCCUAUGGUGAAAGAGUUAUAACUGGAGACACAGAGAAUAAAAACUGAAGGAAAAAUGAACAAGUAGGGCUCCUCCAGGUGCCCCUGCAGAAGUGCUUCUGGUCUCCCUUCCCCAUCUCCCUUGCCCUCCCUGCUGCCUCCAGGUGCAUUCUGGAGAGCUGUACCUUUUGGGCAUGGCUGUUUAGGGGGCAGCCUUUGCUUACUCAGUGUUGUGCUGGGGCAGGGAUGAGAGGGAUUUGGCACAAGGUGGUAAUCAUAUCUCCACCACAGGACCUCAUCAGCACAGCACAGGGUGUUUGCAGAAUAAGUGGGUGAAGGAAACAGAGGAUCACCCCAAGCUCUUCAUCUAACGAACCUAAGCAGAUCACUGAAGUUCUCUAAUUGGUGACCCUCCACACAUCCCACUGGCUGGGCAGUGAUCUGCAAGCCAGGCAAGACCACUGUCCCUCUGCUUUCAAGAUGUCUGGCUCUGAUUUCCCUACUUAUAUUAGGCCUGUCCUUUCCUCCUAACAGAGUCUAGACAACAAAGGUUUCUCUUGUUCCCUCUUUGACCUGGGACUUAAUUCGACAAGAGGCCACAGAGCCCAUGUGCUGACUUGGUGAACACAGCAUCCCAAAGAGACUGUGUGGGGGGAGGAGCCAAGAUGGCUGAAUAGGAACAGCUCAGGUCUACAGCUCCCAGUGUGAGCGACGCAGAAG
rnacentral:lncRNA from 1 species